rnacentral:rRNA from 1 species
UACGUAGGGUGCGAGCGUUAAUCGGAAUUACUGGCGUAAAGCGUGCGCAGGCGGUUAUGUAAGACAGAUGUGAAAUGCCCGGGCUUAACCCUGGGAACUGCAUUUGUGACUGCAUGGCUAGAGUGUGUCAGAGGGGGGUAGAAUUCCACGUGUAGCAGUGAAAUGCGUAGAUAUGUGGAGGAAUACCGAUGGCGAAGGCAGCCCCCUGGGAUAACACUGACGCUCAUGCACGAAAGCGUGGGGAGCAAACAGG